rnacentral:rRNA from 1 species
UACGAAGGUGGCAAGCGUUACUCGGAAUUACUAGGCGUAAAGGGCAGGUAGGUGGUUUGAUAAGUCUGUUGUGUAAGCUCCCGGCUUAACUGGGAGAGGUCAACAGAAACUACCAGGCUUGAGUAUAGGAGAGGGUACUGGAAUUCCCGGUGUAGCGGUGAAAUGCGCAGAGAUCGGGAGGAACACCAAUGGCGAAAGCAGGUACCUGGACUAUUACUGACACUCAGCUGCGAAAGCUAGGGGAGCAAACAGGAUUAGAAACCCCGGUAGUCC